CGUAGGGGGCAAGCGUUGUCCGGAAUUAUUGGGCGUAAAGCGCUCGUAGGCGGAUCGGUAAGUCUGUGAAGAAAGACCCGGGCUCAACUCGGGGAACGGCAUAGAUACUGCUGAUCUUGAGACAGUCAGAGGAUGAUGGAAUUCCAGGUGUAGCGGUGAAAUGCGUAGAUAUCAGGAGGAACACCGAUGGCGAAGGCAGGUCUCUGGGCAUUAACUGACGCUGAGGAGCGAAAGCAUGGGGAGCGAACAGG
rnacentral:rRNA from 1 species